GAUGAACGCUGGCGGCGUGCCUAAUACAUGCAAGUCGAGCGAAUGGAUUAAGAGCUUGCUCUUAUGAAGUUAGCGGCGGACGGGUGAGUAACACGUGGGUAACCUGCCCAUAAGACUGGGAUAACUCCGGGAAACCGGGGCUAAUACCGGAUAAUAUUUUGAACCGCAUGGUUCGAAAUUGAAAGGCGGCUUCGGCUGUCACUUAUGGAUGGACCCGCGUCGCAUUAGCUAGUUGGUGAGGUAACGGCUCACCAAGGCAACGAUGCGUAGCCGACCUGGGAGGGUGAUCGGCCACACUGGGACUGAGACACGGCCCAGAAUCCUACGGGAGGCAGCAGUAGGGAAUCUUCCGCAAUGGACGAAAGUCUGACGUAGCAACGCCGCGUGAGUGAUGAAGGCUUUCGGGUCGUAAAACUCUGUUGUUAGGGAAGAACAAGUGCUAGUUGAAUAAGCUGGCACCUUGACGGUACCUAACCAGAAAGCCACGGCUAACUACGUGCCAGCAGCCGCGGUAA
rnacentral:rRNA from 1 species